rnacentral:pre_miRNA from 1 species
GUUGCAAGAUCUACUUGAGAAGAUGAAAGGAAAAACAUGGAACUUGAGGCAGGGCAGUUCAUGCUCCAAAUACAUCAAGUUCCAUGUUUUUCCUGUUCAUCUUCUCAAGUUAUUUUGGACGGUA